AUACUUCUUCAGCAGCACAUAUACUAAAAUUGAAAUGAUACAGAGAAGAAUAGCAUGGCUACUGCACAAGCAUGCCAUGCAAAUUCAUGAAGCUUUCUAUUUUUGA
ensembl:snRNA U6 U6 spliceosomal RNA